GACGAACGCUGGCGGCGUGCUUAACACAUGCAAGUCGAACGGAAAGGCCUUUUCGGAGGUACUCGAGUGGCGAACGGGUGAGUAACACGUGGGUGAUCUGCCCUGCACUCUGGGAUAAGCCUGGGAAACUGGGUCUAAUACCGGAUAGGACCGCACUUUAGUGUGUGUGGUGGAAAGUUGUUUCGGUGUAGGAUGAGCCCGCGGCCUAUCAGCUUGUUGGUGGGGUAAUGGCCUACCAAGGCGGCGACGGGUAGCCGGACUGAGAGGUUGGUCGGCCACAUUGGGACUGAGAUACGGCCCAGACUCCUACGGGAGGCAGCAGUGGGGAAUAUUGCACAAUGGGCGCAAGCCUGAUGCAGCGACGCCGCGUGGGGGAUGACGGCCUUCGGGUUGUAAACUCCUUUCGCCAGGGACGAAGCGUUUUGGGACGGUACCUGGAGAAGAAGCACCGGCUAACUACGU
rnacentral:rRNA from 1 species